AUACGGAGGAUGCGAGCGUUAUCCGGAUUUAUUGGGUUUAAAGGGUGCGUAGGCUGUGCGUUAAGUCAGGGGUGAAAUGCCGUCGCUCAACGACGGAGCUGCCCUUGAUACUGGCGUGCUGGAGUACGGAUGCCGUUGGAGGAAUGAGUGGUGUAGCGGUGAAAUGCUUAGAUAUCACUCAGAACACCGAUUGCGAAGGCAUCUGACGAAUCCGUCACUGACGCUGAGGCACGAAAGCGUGGGGAUAGAACAGGAUUAGAUACCCUGGUAGUCCACGCAGUAAACGAUGAUAACUAACCGUCGGCGAUACACAGUCGGUGGCCAAGCGAAAGCGAUAAGUUAUCCACCUGGGGAGUACGUUCGCAAGAAUGAAACUCAAAUGAAUUGACGGGG
rnacentral:rRNA from 1 species